GGCCCCGUCGUCUAGCGGUUUAGGACACCAGGUUUUCAUCCUGGAGAUCAUGGGUUCAAAUCCCAUCGGGGUCA
rnacentral:tRNA from 1 species